rnacentral:rRNA from 2 species
AGGGCGCACGGUGGAUGCCUUGGCACUAGAAGCCGAUGAAGGACGUUACUAACGACGAUAUGCUUUGGGGAGCUGUAAGUAAGCUUUGAUCCAGAGAUUUCCGAAUGGGGAAACCCAACAUGAGUUAUGUCAUGUUAUCGAUAUGUGAAUACAUAGCAUAUCAGAAGGCACACCCGGAGAACUGAAACAUCUUAGUACCCGGAGGAAGAGAAAGAAAAUUCGAUUCCCUUAGUAGCGGCGAGCGAAACGGGAAGAGCCCAAACCAACAAGCUUGCUUGUUGGGGUUGUAGGACACUCUAUACGGAGUUACAAAGGACGACAUUAGACGAAUCAUCUGGAAAGAUGAAUCAAAGAAGGUAAUAAUCCUGUAGUCGAAAAUGUUGUCUCUCUUGAGUGGAUCCUGAGUACGACGGAGCACGUGAAAUUCCGUCGGAAUCUGGGAGGACCAUCUCCUAAGGCUAAAUACUCUCUAGUGACCGAUAGUGAACCAGUACCGUGAGGGAAAGGUGAAAAGCACCCCGGAAGGGGAGUGAAAUAGAACCUGAAACCGUGUGCUUACAAGUAGUCAGAGCCCGUUAAUGGGUGAUGGCGUGCCUUUUGUAGAAUGAACCGGCGAGUUACGAUUUGAUGCAAGGUUAAGCAGUAAAUGUGGAGCCGUAGCGAAAGCGAGUCUGAAUAGGGCGUUUAGUAUUUGGUCGUAGACCCGAAACCAGGUGAUCUACCCUUGGUCAGGUUGAAGUUCAGGUAACACUGAAUGGAGGACCGAACCGACUUACGUUGAAAAGUGAGCGGAUGAACUGAGGGUAGCGGAGAAAUUCCAAUCGAACCUGGAGAUAGCUGGUUCUCUCCGAAAUAGCUUUAGGGCUAGCCUCAAGUGAUGAUUAUUGGAGGUAGAGCACUGUUUGGACGAGGGGCCCCUCUCGGGUUACCGAAUUCAGACAAACUCCGAAUGCCAAUUAAUUUAACUUGGGAGUCAGAACAUGGGUGAUAAGGUCCGUGUUCGAAAGGGAAACAGCCCAGACCACCAGCUAAGGUCCCAAAAUAUAUGUUAAGUGGAAAAGGAUGUGGCGUUGCCCAGACAACUAGGAUGUUGGCUUAGAAGCAGCCAUCAUUUAAAGAGUGCGUAAUAGCUCACUAGUCGAGUGACACUGCGCCGAAAAUGUACCGGGGCUAAACAUAUUACCGAAGCUGUGGAUUGUCCUUUGGACAAUGGUAGGAGAGCGUUCUAAGGGCGUUGAAGCAUGAUCGCAAGGACAUGUGGAGCGCUUAGAAGUGAGAAUGCCGGUGUGAGUAGCGAAAGACGGGUGAGAAUCCCGUCCACCGAUUGACUAAGGUUUCCAGAGGAAGGCUCGUCCGCUCUGGGUUAGUCGGGUCCUAAGCUGAGGCCGACAGGCGUAGGCGAUGGAUAACAGGUUGAUAUUCCUGUACCACCUAUAAUCGUUUUAAUCGAUGGGGGGACGCAGUAGGAUAGGCGAAGCGUGCGAUUGGAUUGCACGUCUAAGCAGUAAGGCUGAGUAUUAGGCAAAUCCGGUACUCAUUAAGGCUGAGCUGUGAUGGGGAGAAGACAUUGUGUCUUCGAGUCGUUGAUUUCACACUGCCGAGAAAAGCCUCUAGAUAGAAAAUAGGUGCCCGUACCGCAAACCGACACAGGUAGUCAAGAUGAGAAUUCUAAGGUGAGCGAGCGAACUCUCGUUAAGGAACUCGGCAAAAUGACCCCGUAACUUCGGGAGAAGGGGUGCUCUUUAGGGUUAACGCCCAGAAGAGCCGCAGUGAAUAGGCCCAAGCGACUGUUUAUCAAAAACACAGGUCUCUGCUAAACCGUAAGGUGAUGUAUAGGGGCUGACGCCUGCCCGGUGCUGGAAGGUUAAGAGGAGUGGUUAGCUUCUGCGAAGCUACGAAUCGAAGCCCCAGUAAACGGCGGCCGUAACUAUAACGGUCCUAAGGUAGCGAAAUUCCUUGUCGGGUAAGUUCCGACCCGCACGAAAGGCGUAACGAUUUGGGCACUGUCUCAACGAGAGACUCGGUGAAAUCAUAGUACCUGUGAAGAUGCAGGUUACCCGCGACAGGACGGAAAGACCCCGUGGAGCUUUACUGUAGCCUGAUAUUGAAAUUCGGCACAGCUUGUACAGGAUAGGUAGGAGCCUUUGAAACGUGAGCGCUAGCUUACGUGGAGGCGCUGGUGGGAUACUACCCUAGCUGUGUUGGCUUUCUAACCCGCACCACUUAUCGUGGUGGGAGACAGUGUCAGGCGGGCAGUUUGACUGGGGCGGUCGCCUCCUAAAAGGUAACGGAGGCGCUCAAAGGUUCCCUCAGAAUGGUUGGAAAUCAUUCAUAGAGUGUAAAGGCAUAAGGGAGCUUGACUGCGAGACCUACAAGUCGAGCAGGGUCGAAAGACGGACUUAGUGAUCCGGUGGUUCCGCAUGGAAGGGCCAUCGCUCAACGGAUAAAAGCUACCCCGGGGAUAACAGGCUUAUCUCCCCCAAGAGUUCACAUCGACGGGGAGGUUUGGCACCUCGAUGUCGGCUCAUCGCAUCCUGGGGCUGUAGUCGGUCCCAAGGGUUGGGCUGUUCGCCCAUUAAAGCGGUACGCGAGCUGGGUUCAGAACGUCGUGAGACAGUUCGGUCCCUAUCCGUCGUGGGCGUAGGAAAUUUGAGAGGAGCUGUCCUUAGUACGAGAGGACCGGGAUGGACAUACCUCUGGUGUACCAGUUGUCGUGCCAACGGCAUAGCUGGGUAGCUAUGUGUGGACGGGAUAAGUGCUGAAAGCAUCUAAGCAUGAAGCCCCCCUCAAGAUGAGAUUUCCCAACUUCGGUUAU